rnacentral:rRNA from 1 species
UUAAUGAGAGUUUGAUCCUGGCUCAGGACGAACGCUGGCGGCGUGCCUAAUACAUGCAAGUAGAACGCUGAAGAGAGGAGCUUGCUCUUCUUGGAUGAGUUGCGAACGGGUGAGUAACGCGUAGGUAACCUGCCUGGUAGCGGGGGAUAACUAUUGGAAACGAUAGCUAAUACCGCAUAAAAUUGAUUAUUGCAUGAUAAUUAAUUGAAAGAUGCAAUUGCAUCACUACCAGAUGGACCUGCGUUGUAUUAGCUAGUUGGUGAGGUAACGGCUCACCAAGGCGACGAUACAUAGCCGACCUGAGAGGGUGAUCGGCC